CCAUCCCGAACACGACCGUUAAGCCCUCCAGCGCCGAUGGUACUUGGACCGAAGGGUCCUGGGAGAGUAGGACGCCGCCAAGC
rnacentral:rRNA from 2 species